AAAGGAAUUGACGGGGCCGCACAAGCGGAGGAGCAUGUGGUUUAAUUCGAUGAUACGCGAGGAACCUUACCUGGGCUCGAACGUAAGAUGACUGUAGGUGAAAGCUUACAUCUCUUCGGAGCAUUUUACGAGGUGCUGCAUGGUUGUCGUCAGCUCGUGCCGUGAGGUGUCGGGUUAAGUCCCAUAACGAGCGCAACCCCUACCUUUAGUUGCCAUCAGGUAAUGCUGGGGACUCUAAAGGAACUGCCUACGCAAGUAGUGAGGAAGGCGGGGAUGACGUCAAAUCAGCACGGCCCUUACGUCCAGGGCUACACACGUGCUACAAUGGCCGAUACAGAGGGCAGCUACCUGGUGACAGGAUGCAAAUCUCCAAAGUCGGUCUCAGUUCGGAUCGGAGUCUGCAACCCGACUCCGUGAAGUUGGAUUCGCUAGUAAUCGCGCAUCAGCCAUGGCGCGGUGAAUACGUUCCCGGGCCUU
rnacentral:rRNA from 1 species